AUUGAACGCUGGCGGCAGGCCUAACACAUGCAAGUCGAGCGAGCGGCGGACGGGUGAGUAAUGUCUGGGAAACUGCCUGACGGCGGGGGAUAACUACUGGAAACGGUAGCUAAUACCGCAUACCAUCAGAUGUGCCCCGGUGGGAUUAGCUAGUAGGUGGGGUAACGGCUCACCUGGGCGACGACCCCUAGCUGGUCUGAGGGGAUGACCAGCCACACUGGAACUGAGACACGGCCCAGACCCCUGCGGGAGUCAGCAGGGGGGAAUAUUGCACUAGGGGCGCAAGCCUGAUGCAGACAUGCCGCGUGUGUGAAGAAGGCCUUGGGGGUGUAAAGCGCUUUCGGCGGGGAGGCGUUACCCGCAGAAGAAGCACCGGCUAACUCCGUGCCAGCCGCCGCGGUAUUC
rnacentral:rRNA from 1 species